GCGCUUGUAGCUCAGCUGGAUAGAGCAUCGGCCUUCGAAGCCGGGUGUCGGGGGUUCGAAUCCCUCCGGGCGCACCA
rnacentral:tRNA from 3 species